rnacentral:rRNA from 1 species
CCAAUAGCGUAUAUUAAAGUUGUUGCAGUUAAAAAGCUCGUAGUUGAACCUCGGGAUCAAUGGAUCGGUCAUGCCAUCGGUAUGUACUGGUCUCAUUGGUUCUCACCUUCUAAGGAACCAUGAUGUCAUUCAGUUGAUGUUGUGGGGAAUUAGGACUGUUACCUUGAAAAAAUUAGAGUGUUUAAAGCAGGCUAACGCUUGAAUACAUUAGCAUGGAAGAAUGAAAUAGGACAUCGCAUUCUAUUUUGUUGGUUUCUAGGAUCGAUGUAAUGAUUAAUAGGGAUAGUUGGGGGCAUUAGUAUUCAAUUGUCAGAGGUGAAAUUCUUGGAUUUAUUGAAGACUAACUACUGCGAAAGCAUUUGCCAAGGAUGUUUUCAUUAAUCAAGAACGAAAGUUAGGGGAUCGAAGACGAUCAGAUACCGUCGUAGUCUUAACCAUAAACUAUGCCGACUAGGGAUCGGAUGAUGUUGAUUUUUUAAUGACUCAUUCGGCACCUUAC